rnacentral:lncRNA from 1 species
CGGGAAGGUAGUGCUGGAGGAAAGAAAGAAAAAGAUGACCUGGCCUCCUUGUAAACGUGUGAAUGGCAUACACAUACAGCACCUUUACCAGAAAAGAGGUCUAAGAGUUCGGAUGGCAAACAAACUAGCAUCUCUGAAUUUAUGGGGUAGUUAGCCUGAGAGCAUCUGUGACAGCCUAAGUGGUGGCCCCCAUGACCCUGCUGUUUUUCUUCUCUAUUCUGUUGCUAAUAAUGUUUUCUUCAUCCCUGAACAUCUGUCAGCUACUGAUGAAGUGAAUUGGCUAGAGAAAGGGCUGGACCUUGUUAAUUGCAUAGAAAAAACUAUCAAGAUGGCUGAAAUCAAAUGCAAAGAGGCAACAUCAAAC